CUGGCUCAGGAUGAACGCCGGCGGUGUGCCUAAUACAUGCAAGUCGUACGCACUGGCCCAACUGAUUGAUGGUGCUUGCACCUGAUUGACGAUGGAUCACCAGUGAGUGGCGGACGGGUGAGUAACACGUAGGUAACCUGCCCCGGAGCGGGGGAUAACAUUUGGAAACAGAUGCUAAUACCGCAUAACAACAAAAGCCACAUGGCUUUUGUUUGAAAGAUGGCUUUGGCUAUCACUCUGGGAUGGACCUGCGGUGCAUUAGCUAGUUGGUAAGGUAACGGCUUACCAAGGCGAUGAUGCAUAGCCGAGUUGAGAGACUGAUCGGCCACAAUGGAACUGAGACACGGUCCAUACUCCUACGGGAGGCAGCAGUAGGGAAUCUUCCACAAUGGGCGCAAGCCUGAUGGAGCAACACCGCGUGAGUGAAGAAGGGUUUCGGCUCGUAAAGCUCUGUUGUUGGAGAAGAACGUGCGUGAGAGUAACUGUUCACGCAGUGACGGUAUCCAACCAGAAAGUCACGGCUAACUAC
rnacentral:rRNA from 2 species